GCGCCCGUAGCUCAGCUGGAUAGAGUACCUGGCUACGAACCAGGCGGUCGCACGUUCGAAUCGUGCCGGGCGCACCA
rnacentral:tRNA from 24 species